GGCAGGGGGAAGGCAGGAGACUAGGGCAUGACAGUGCAAUUGGGUCUCAGCCAAUCAUGGCUGGACAACUGGGUGUGACCUGUCAGCCACGGAGAGCUGUCACAUCUUGACCUAGAUGCUUGCACAGAGUAGCUUCAGAGUCUGUGGGAAGACCCAGAUCUGAUGUCAAAUGAAGAUAUAAAAGAUGGUGGCCCUUGUACUUCCUUGCCACUGCUCCCUUGUUCUUGCAGCAGCAAGUUAUGCCUGCAGGAUGUAUCUUCUCUUUUGUAUUUCUUCUUUUUCUUUCAUUUUCCUCAACGUUAAACUGUUAUGUUCAUUAGUUGUCUCCUUCCAAUUGUUUGAAUAAGGCCAGAGCCUGGAAACACUAGAUACCACACCAACUAUCAACAAUGAGUGCUAUGUGUCUGGAGUGAACAGAGAGAGGGAAGGUCGUAGGCUGUCAUGUGAUCGUUCUGGUGUGCACUGUAUUUGAGGCCUGCACCGACAGGUGCCAGCUAAGGCACAAUUCCAGGAGCUGGGGCCCAACCAGCAUGGCUGACCUCUCACCCUGGCCUCUCAGCCUUCUGACUGAUUGAACACCCUGUAAUCUCAUUAACCCUACUUUCUCCAUCUAUAAAAGAAGCUCUGUUAUACAGCAUUUGAAGAUGUGAACAUUAUGAGGAAUAGUGCACAAGUGAACAGAGGUAUAGUGGUAACUUAUUCCAUUCCUCUCCUGGCUCGUCCAUCCAAACUCCUCUCAUCAACUCAUGGCUUUCACCACUGAGUGCAAAGGUGUUGCUCCCGUUGUUCUUCCCUCAGCCACGAAGACAGGGGACAGAGAAGCCACAGUCUUCAAAGAGAUGGCCUGGAGGCUCAGUUAUGCAGAGGACCAUCAAGUCUCAGAGUGAGGUGAUUCAGAAACCAGUUGCUGAAGUGGGAGCUGCAAAAGUGGAGGCACCUGAUGAACUCACAAAUUCCUUUUGGGGAGUCUGAAGAUCUGGAUUUGCUGUUGUGGAAAGCCCAGAAAGAAGAUGCUAUGGGUGUCCAUCUUAACGUUUAGACUGAUAGAAGUUUCACAAACUCCUCCCAGAGAGAAUCUAGAGGCUUGUGUUUAUUGCUGAAAGAAACUGGGAAAUAAAAUA